GAUGAACGCUGGCGGCGUGCCUAAUACAUGCAAGUCGAGCGAACAGACGAGGAGCUUGCUCCUCUGACGUUAGCGGCGGACGGGUGAGUAACACGUGGAUAACCUACCUAUAAGACUGGGAUAACUUCGGGAAACCGGAGCUAAUACCGGAUAAUAUAUUGAACCGCAUGGUUCAAUAGUGAAAGACGGUUUUGCUGUCACUUAUAGAUGGAUCCGCGCCGCAUUAGCUAGUUGGUAAGGUAACGGCUUACCAAGGCAACGAUGCGUAGCCGACCUGAGAGGGUGAUCGGCCACACUGGAACUGAGACACGGUCCAGACUCCUACGGGAGGCAGCAGUAGGGAAUCUUCCGCAAUGGGCGAAAGCCUGACGGAGCAACUCCGCGUGAGUGAUGAAGGUCUUCGGAUCGUAAAACUCUGUUAUUAGGGAAGAACAAAUGUGUAAGUAACUAUGCACGUCUUGACGGUACCUAAUCAGAAAGCCACGGCUAACAACGUG
rnacentral:rRNA from 1 species